AGUGAACGCUGGCGGUAGGCCUAACACAUGCAAGUCGAACCGCAGCACAGUAAGAGCUUGCUCUUACGGGUGGCGAGUGGCGGACGGGUGAGGAAUACAUCGGUAUCUACUUUUUCGUGGGGGAUAACGUAGGGAAACUUACGCUAAUACCGCAUACGACCUACGGGUGAAAGCAGGGGAUCUUCGGACCUUGCGCGAUUGAAUGAGCCGAUGUCGGAUUAGCUAGUUGGCGGGGUAAAGGCCCACCAAGGCGACGAUCCGUAGCUGGUCUGAGAGGAUGAUCAGCCACACUGGAACUGAGACACGGUCCAGACUCCUACGGGAGGCAGCAGUGGGGAAUAUUGGACAAUGGGCGCAAGCCUGAUCCAGCCAUACCGCGUGGGUGAAGAAGGCCUUCGGGUUGUAAAGCCCUUUUGUUGGGAAAGAAAAGCAGCAGGUUAAUACCCCGCUGUUCUGACGGUACCCAAAGAAUAAGCACCGGCUAACUUCGUG
rnacentral:rRNA from 1 species